CCAGGAGUAGCUCAAUGAUAGAGUACUUGCCUAGCAUGCAAGAGGCUUUGGGUUCAAUCCCCAGCACCAUGA
rfam:Ictidomys tridecemlineatus contig027094, whole genome shotgun sequence.